CCUACGGGUGGCUGCAGUGGGGAAUAUUGGACAAUGGGCGAAAGCCUGAUCCAGCCAUGCCGCGUGUGUGAAGAAGGCCUUCGGGUUGUAAAGCACUUUCAGUGGGGAAGAAAGCCUUGGGGCUAAUACCCUCGAGGAAGGACAUCACCCACAGAAGAAGCACCGGCUAACUCCGUGCCAGCAGCCGCGGUAAUACGGAGGGUGCGAGCGUUAAUCGGAAUUACUGGGCGUAAGGCGCGCGUAGGCGGUCUGAUAAGCCGGUUGUGAAAGCCCCGGGCUCAACCUGGGAACGGCAUCCGGAACUGUCAGGAUAGAGUGCAGGAGAGGAAGGUAGAAUUCCCGGUGUAGCGGUGAAAUGCGUAGAGAUCGGGAGGAAUACCAGUGGCGAAGGCGGCCUUCUGGACUGACACUGACGCUGAGGUGCGAAAGCGUGGGUAGCAAACAGGAUUAGAUACCCCUGUAGUC
rnacentral:rRNA from 1 species